GGCUCAGGAUGAACGCUAGCUACAGGCUUAACACAUGCAAGUCGAGGGGGAAACGAUAGAGAAAGCUUGCUUUUUCUAGGCGUCGACCGGCGCACGGGUGAGUAACGCGUAUCCAACCUGCCCACCACUUGGGAAUAACCUUGCGAAAGUAAGACUAAUGCCCAAUGACAUUUAUAGAAGGCAUCUGAAAUGAAUUAAAGAUUUAUCGGUGAUGGAUGGGGAUGCGUCUGAUUAGCUUGUUGGCGGGGUAACGGCCCACCAAGGCGACGAUCAGUAGGGGUUCUGAGAGGAAGGUCCCCCACAUUGGAACUGAGACACGGUCCAAACUCCUACGGGAGGCAGCAGUGAGGAAUAUUGGUCAAUGGGCGAGAGCCUGAACCAGCCAAGUAGCGUGCAGGAAGACGGCCCUAUGGGUUGUAAACUGCUUUUGUGCGGGGAUAAAGUGUGCGACGUGUCGCUCAUUGCAGGUACCGCACGAAUAAGGACCGGCUAAUUCCGUG
rnacentral:rRNA from 1 species